rnacentral:rRNA from 1 species
AUAUUGCACAAUGGGGGAAACCCUGAUGCAGCGACGCCGCGUGAGUGAAGAAGUCAUUCGUGAUGUAAAGCUCUGUCAGCAGGGAAGAUAAUGACGGUACCUGCCUACGACGCCCCGGCUAACUACGUGCCAGCAGCCGCGGUAAUACGUAGGGGGCAAGCGUUAUCCGGAUUUACUGGGUGUAAAGGGAGCGUAGGUGGCAGGGCAAGUCAGAUGUGAAAACCCGGGGCUCAACCCCGGGAUUGCAUUUGAAACUGCCCGGCUGGAGUGCAGGAGAGGUAAGUGGAAUUCCUAGUGUAGCGGUGAAAUGCAUAGAUAUUAGGAGGAACACCAGUGGCGAAGGCGGCUUACUGGACUGUAACUGACACUGAGGCUCGAAAGCGUGGGGAGCAAA